GUCUUCUCUCCGCAGGUGUUACUGCCGCUGUUUGUGAGGUGUUAGUGAGGCUUUCCAGAAGUUUCCGUCGUCUUGUCAGCGUUAGCCCCCCACCUUAACUUCGUCCCCGCGCGCGCAGACCCCCAGCCCGGGCAGUGAAGAGAACCCAGCCACAAGGAAUGCUUAAAGUUGAGGCAGCUACACAGGCACUGCUGGGAAGAGCCCAUCCCCAUCUCCUUGAUCCUCGAUCAUCCGUAGGCAAGGGGAUGUUGUCUGGUGCCCCGAAGCCUUCUCUGCUGCAGAAGAGCUGGACCUCAUAGGGUUUGCAGAGCCCGGUUAAGGCAUCAUGGGUGCUGAGCAAAAGAGGGAUCAUUCCUGCCGCCCCCAGGGAGAGAUACAGGGGAAAAUCCUUGAGAGCAAGCCUAGGGCUGCUUUUGAACUGGCAUGGGAAAAAACAUGGGAGCCCAGAGGGCUGGCCAGCAGUGCUAGAGUGUGUGGAGAGCUUGUGGGACUGUCACACUGCCUCAAAGGCAGGCGUGAGGUUUUAUUGAACUCUUGCUGAAUGGAUUUGGAGAUGUGUCGUGGUUGGGGUGAACUGAUGGUGCUCUGGGAAAAUACAGCCAAGGUUGCAGUGACUGCUGGGAAACCAAUGCUGAACACAAGAUUAAUGCUGCAGUAGCUCUCAGUGCCCUUCCCAGAGCCAUCGGAGCUUCUUCGGCGGCCCUGCGUCGUUCGGGCCGUCGGGAGACCCAGGACGAGCGCUCAGAGCAGCAGAGCGUGAGUCCUGCUGCUGCAGCGCCGGUGAGAGGGAGCGGCUCGUCAUCGCCACUUCUCCCCAGCUCACCUCAGCAGGUGGAGAGCAUGGCCACGGAGCUGGACGCCCGCUGUCCCAUCUGUCUGGACAGCC